rnacentral:lncRNA from 1 species
UCCAUCUCAAAAAAAAAAAAAAAGGUCACAAAUCCUCUGAACGCACAGGCAUAAAGGGUUGUGGGGCUCGGUCACUUCCUAGAACACAAAAAACCCUUUCGGAAGUUUGGUUGGGUUGGUCACGGGACAAGGCUGGAGAGAGGGUGAGGGCACACAUUUGGAUGUGUUUGGGAGGAGUUUAAGUGUAGUCCUAUUAAUAUUGUUUGAGAUAAGUUAAAAUUGUUUCCUGGCAAUUCAUCAGAAGCAGUGUGGGGUGUUGGCAAGAGGCCUCCUCUGGGGAAAGAACACUGGGUUCUGUCUCCUCUGGCCUAUGACCUUAAGCAAGUUAUUAGCUUCCUCAAGCCUCAAUCUUCUCAGCGGUAAAAUGGGGAUGAUAAUUAUCUGCAAAGCAAGGCUAAUAUCAGCCUUGGGUUUCCCACAGGGUGGUUAUGAAGAUAAAAUGCAAUAAAUGUGUGUGAGGGCAACUGACGAGCCAGGAAGCCUUGGCAUCCAGAGUUAUUACUGGGACGUCAUGGGAAAUGAGGAUAUGGGAACAGAGUAUUUAUGCAUUUAUUCAAACUCAUCUCUAACAACCGUGCUUUGAAGGCUGGCUGCAUCCCAGGCCCUACAGGUGAACCGUGACUCUCAGCUCUCAGCUUCAGCCCCUGCUGUAGUGGCGGCAGCAGCAGAGGCUCACGUAGCCUCAAGCAGUAGGGGUUUUGUUUAAGGAUUCGGGUGCCCCAUGGUUUGGGGGUUUUGUUUUUAUUUUGCUGCAUGAUUUGGAUUCAAGAAGAAGGAUCUGUAGGACAGUGGGCUCCCGGGUCUGCCUUUGCCCUCAUAGCCUGCAGCAGAGCAGGACGUUCGCUUUCCCUUCUCCGCCUGUGUGUUCUUCCUGCACUGCCUAACUGCUGCUUGCUCAUUUGUGCUUCCGUGUCACCCCUCCUCAGCCCUCUGAACUCUGCACGUCAGGACUUGGCACACUUCCUAACUGCUGCUUACUCAUUUGUACUUCCGCGUCACCCCUCCUCAGCCCUCUGAACUCUGCGCUUGGACUUGGUGUGACUUCCCUUCCCCGCCUAUUCUCUAGAGGCAGUCUCUUGGUGACUCCUGGUUUGGGUCAGGGCACGCCUUAGGUCUCUGGAUGGCUACCAACCCCAGGUUCCCUCAGCUCUAGCCCCAUAAGAGAGGAGGCCUCAGGAGCGCCUAGGGCAGCCCUUUCAGCCUGGGCUGUGGGAAGGGAAGGUGGACAGAGAGGAGACCCCAUGCCUUUGUUCCCUGUUGAUGCAGAAGCAUUCUAGGCUCUGUCCCUUAUUCCUGCUGUGGGCUGAAGCUUCAGGCAAGGUGCUCUACAAACUUCAGUUGCCUCAUCUAUCAAACAGUAACGUUUAACAUUCCAGAGACAGAAGUUGAUCUUUGGGACUUUUUUUGAUUUUAAGAUCUAGGCUGGCUGGGGCGGUGGCUCAUGCCUGUAAUCCCAGCACUUUGAGAGGCCGAGACCGGUGGAUCACGAGAUCAUCAGGAGAUGAGACCAUCCUGGCUAACAUGUUAGCCUGGCCUCCAGAGCUCUUGGACUGCAGCACCCAUAAUGAUGGCCAAAGCCGCCCCCACGGCGACUCCUCCUGCUGAAGCAAAGUCAGGCAGAACAAUAAGCCCACAAAACCUUGCCGACUGUCUUCAGUCCAACCGUGGCUCUCUACUCCAUCUGCACUGCUGUCUCUGUGCGUUCAUCAUCUCACAGCCAUCCUUUCAUGCAAGUUGGACCAUCGCCCACCUUCCCACAACCCUCUGACGGCUUACCUUUUUCCUCAGGAUAAAAUCCCAACUCCUUUUUUUUUUUGAGAUGGAGUCUCGCUCUGUUGCCCAGGCUGGAGUGCAAUGGCGUGA